rnacentral:rRNA from 1 species
GGGGAAUUUUGGACAAUGGGGGCAACCCUGAUCCAGCAAUGCCGCGUGAGUGAAGAAGGCCUUCGGGUUGUAAAGCUUUUUUGUCAGGGAAGAAACAGCAGCUUUAACACAGUUUGCGAAUGACGGUACCUGAAGAAUAAGCACCGGCUAAUUACGUGCCAGCAGCCGCGGUAAUACGUAGGGUGCAAGCGUUAAUCGGAAUUACUGGGCGUAAAGCGUGCGCAGGCGGUUAUGUAAGACAGGCGUGAAAUCCCCGGGCUUAACCUGGGAAUUGCGCUUGUGACUGCAUAGCUAGAGUAUGUCAGAGGGGGGUAGAAUUCCACGUGUAGCAGUGAAAUGCGUAGAGAUGUGGAGGAAUACCAAUGGCGAAGGCAGCCCCCUGGGAUAAUACUGACGCUCAUGCACGAAAGCGUGGGGAGCAAACAGGAUUAGAUACCCUGGUAGUCCACGCCCUAAACGA